rnacentral:rRNA from 1 species
AGCGAACGCUGGCGGCAGGCUUAACACAUGCAAGUCGAGCGGGCACUUCGGUGUCAGCGGCAGACGGGUGAGUAACACGUGGGAACGUACCCUUUGGUUCGGAAUAACGCUGGGAAACUAGCGCUAAUACCGGAUAAGCCCUUUUGGGGAAAGGCUUGCUGCCGAAGGAUCGGCACGCGUCUGAUUAGCGAGUUGGUGGGGUAAUGGCCUACCAAGGCGACGAUCAGUAGCUGGUCUGAGAGGAUGAUCAGCCACACUGGGACUGAGACACGGCCCAGACUCCUACGGGAGGCAGCAGGGGGGAAUAUUGGACAAUGGGCGCAAGCCUGAUCCAGCCAUGCCGCGUGAGUGAUGAAGGCCUUAGGGUUGUAAAGCUCUUUUGUCCGGGACGAUAAUGACGGUACCGGAAGAAUAAGCCCCGGCUAACUUCGUG